UCUAACAUUAGAAAAUAUCUUUUUCUAAAAAAGAUACUAAAAAUAGAAAGAAGAGAGAGACAAUCAGACAAUGUCCCUUCCAUCGUUUCCCCCCUUUUUUCCGUUGAUUAAAUAGCAGGUAUAGUAUCUUCCAACGAACACAGCUUAGAAAAACAAAAGCUUCCAAAAAUAGGAAGAGGAGAGAGAAAAUGAGGAACGCUGAAGGAGAAGGCGAAAUCUCACAACCCCGUAACUCGCCCCCCGACUCACCGUCGCCGCACCAGUCUCGUCCCACGUCCAACACGAAACCCGACGCAAAAUUGAGGCGCAGAAACGCGCCGUUUUUGAUCGUUUGUAAAUGUUUCAGCGUCAUCACUGCUUUAUCUGCUAUUCUAUGUAUUGCCGUCAAUAUUCUCUCUGCUUUUCGUUCCUUCAAGAACGGAUCUGAUGUUUUUGAUGGGAUUUUCCGAUGUUAUGCGGUGGCGCUAGCAAUUUUUGUGGUUUUGGCUGAGACGGAGUGGAGUCUCAUUUUCAGAUUCUGGAAGGUGUUGGAGUAUUGGCCUGGCAGAAGCAUGCUACAGAUCUUCGUUGCUGUUAUGACUAGGGCAUUCUCUGACUUCAUUGGAAAGCAGCGCGACAUAGUUCUUCUUCAGAGCAUAGCAAGCUAUCUGCUGCUUUCUUGCGGUGUUGUGUAUCUUGUAUCGGGAAUCCUUUGCAUUGGUGUUAUCAAGCGUUCCCUCGAAGAAAAAGAAAUUAGUAGGGAUCAAGCAGUUAAGGAUCUGGAGGUGUCAUCCACUCAUUCUGCAGCCUAAGUUGGGGUUUGAUUGUUUUGCUUCCUGCACAUUGUACAAGUGUGGAAUGUAUAUAAGUACCCUGCAUCAUCUUGAAGCAAGUCAAAAUGAACACAAAGGAAACUAGUGGAAUAAAGAUAGGGAGAGAAUCUGCUGCGGAGUCAGGAACUGUGAACUGGAGAAGAAACGGCAUGAGCUUGAAGCUUUGCUAAUUGAAGAAGAAAACGUUUGAAAGAGAAUUCAUACGUUGGUUUGGCACGGCUCCUUAUCUGGAGUUCCCCUGAAACAUUGAGGAAGAAAGCUGACCAUUUCUGAACCCAAUUGUACAGGCUGUUCUCAUUUUUGUGUGAUAGUUAAGGCGUUAAGCUGAUCUGUAGCCGCCUUUGGAUUUUACGGAGUACUUUUUACGACUUUAUAUAGGUUGUAUUCAUUUUCUUAUCAUUCUUGACUUGUGUGUAUAAAGAGUGUUAGUGUAGCUUGUUGAAAGAAAUCGUAGCCGAUGUACUCACUCAUAUUGGAGAAGUACAUCCUAUAUUUUUUUUUCCCAUUUGAGUAAAUUACAUUUUUCUACCA